UGAUCGCAGCAUCAGAGGAAUGUCAAGGUC
rnacentral:piRNA from 1 species